rnacentral:rRNA from 1 species
GAUGAACGCUGGCGGCGUGCCUAAUACAUGCAAGUCGAGCGAACAGACGAGGAGCUUGCUCCUUUGACGUUAGCGGCGGACGGGUGAGUAACACGUGGGUAACCUACCUAUAAGACUGGGAUAACUUCGGGAAACCGGAGCUAAUACCGGAUAAUAUUUCGAACCGCAUGGUUCGAUAGUGAAAGAUGGCUCUGCUAUCACUUAUAGAUGGACCUGCGCCGUAUUAGCUAGUUGGUAAGGUAACGGCUUACCAAGGCAACGAUACGUAGCCGACCUGAGAGGGUGAUCGGCCACACUGGAACUGAGACACGGUCCAGACUCCUACGGGAGGCAGCAGUAGGGAAUCUUCCGCAAUGGGCGAAAGCCUGACGGAGCAACGCCGCGUGAGUGACGAAGGUCUUCGGAUCGUAAAACUCUGUUAUUAGGGAAGAACAAACGUGUAAGUAACUGUGCACGUCUUGACGGUACCUAAUCAGAAAGCCACGGCUAACUACGUG